rnacentral:rRNA from 1 species
AUNUAUGGCCAUACCACCCUGAACAUGCUCGAUCUCAUCUGAUCUCAGCUGCUAAGCAGGGCAAGGCCUGGUUAGUACUUGGANAGAAGAAAUCCCUCUUCUCUAAUGGUACUGCGUUGGUGUUAUGGUUU